GGGGAUUUAGCUCAGUGGUAGAGCGCGUGCCUAGCAAGCGCAAGGCCCUGGGUUCGGUCCCCAGCUCUG
rfam:Rattus norvegicus chromosome 13, whole genome shotgun sequence.